GGCGAUGUAGCUCAGCGGUAGAGCUAGGGAUUCAUAAGCCCUCGGUCACUGGUUCGAAUCCAGUCAUCGCCA
rnacentral:tRNA from 1 species